CCCGGGCCUUGUACACACCGCCCGUCACACCAUGGGAGCUGACUCCAACCAGAAGACGGUCAGGGUAACCGCAAGGGGCCCUCCGGCGAAGGUGGGGUUGGUGACUGGGGUG
rnacentral:rRNA from 1 species